rnacentral:rRNA from 1 species
CUUGACGACCAUAGAGCGUUGGAACCACCUGAUCCCAUCCCGAACUCAGUAGUGAAACGACGCAUCGCCGAUGGUAGUGUGGAGUUUCUCCAUGUGAG